UAAUACGGAGGGUGCAAGCGUUGUCCGGAUUUAUUGGGUUUAAAGGGUGCGUAGGCGGCCUAAUAAGUCAGUGGUGAAAUCCUGCAGCUUAACUGUAGAACAGCCAUUGAUACUGUAAGGCUUGAGUUCAGACGAGGUAGGCGGAAUUUAUGGUGUAGCGGUGAAAUGCAUAGAUACCAUAAAGAACACCGAUUGCGAAGGCAGCUUACUAGACUGAAACUGACGCUGAGGCACGAAAGCGUGGGGAUCAAACAGGAUUAGAUACCCUGGUAGUCCACGCUGUAAACGAUGAAGACUCGAUGUGUGCGAUAGACAGCACGCGUCCAAGCGAAAGCGUUAAGUCUUCCACCUGGGGAGUACGCUCGCAAGAGUG
rnacentral:rRNA from 1 species